GAAUCGCUAGUAACCGUGAAUCAGCCUCGUCACGGUGAAUACGUUCUCGGGUUUUGUACACACCGCCCGUCACGUCAUGGAAGUGGGCAGUGCCCAAAGAUCUCGCAAGAGGUUUAAGGCAAGGUUCAUGACUGGGACGAAGUC
rnacentral:rRNA from 1 species